UACGGAGGAUGCGAGCGUUAUCCGGAUUUAUUGGGUUUAAAGGGUGCGUAGGCGGCGAGUUAAGUCAGCGGUAAAAGCCCGGGGCUCAACCCCGGCCCGCCGUUGAAACUGGCUGGCUUGAGUGGGCGAGAAGUACGCGGAAUGCGUGGUGUAGCGGUGAAAUGCAUAGAUAUCACGCAGAACGCCGAUUGCGAAGGCAGCUUACCGGCGCUCAACUGACGCUGAGGCACGAAAGUGCGGGUAUCGAACAGG
rnacentral:rRNA from 1 species